AAAUGGCAAAACCAAAAACAUAAUUUCCCGCACAAGAUUUGAUUUGGCUUCGGUCCCCAAUCUUUGUGUAACCCAAGCACAUGGAGCCUUCAAAGAACAACGCCCAAUCGGAAGAAGACGACACCGUGGCGCUGAGGAGGAAGCGGGCGCGGCGCGUGAGCUUCGCGGACAACGAAAUCACCUCCGUCCACGUCUUCAGCCGCGACGACGACGACGAUUCCACUUCCUCUCCCUCCGAACCCCCUUCUUCCUCCAAUCCCUCCAUCCUAGGGUUUUUCCGCGACCUCGCCUCCGACAGCGACGAUGACGAACAACCGAAACUCGAAGACGAAGCCGAAGCCGCCGCAAACUCCUUCCUCCGCCCUGUCGGAUCCCCCUCCCCUGGCGGCAGCAUCACCGCCGACUAUGAUGACGAUGAUGAUUUUGGCGGUCCGGUGUCGGCACAUUUUGUCCGACCGGAUCGGCUAUCGGACUCCGGUGUUUUGGAAGACAUCACGAUGGACUCGAUGGCUUUCUCACUGCACUACCAGAGUCUUGCUGGCUCAGACUCCGGCGACAUCAAGACGCGCCAGUUCGUCAGGCUUGGAACUCCAAGCUCUCAGGGAAGUUACAUGGAGCUCACGGAGGCGACAAAGAGGCCUGCCGAAGUGGUACUCGACGCAAAUAGUGCCGGCAAAGACUCCAACGACAUGAGCAUUGAGGUAGACCACCAAAUGAGUUUUGGCUAUGACAUACCCUCUCCUGCGUUUGAUGCUGCUGCUGCAAUUUUGGCAGAAGAAGGAGCACCUAAGGAAUCACCACAUCACAGCUUGGAAGGUUCGGUUGUUUCACCAGUCACUCACCUUCACCAGAUACAGCCUUCUGAUUCUUCAAUCAAGGAAAAUAAAGAGUUUAAUGUUGGUGUAAUUGAGAUCAUGCCAGUUUGUAGACAACUGGACUUUGAUAAUGGUAAUAGAGGAACACCACUGAGGGUGGAUGAAGACAAAGGAAUGGUGUCGGACACCGAUCAUAAGUCUGAUCAAGUAAUCCAAAAUCCAAUACACAGGUUUACACCAUUGUCACUGUCUGGAAGAAAACAAUUAGUUAUGAGGUCUCCUGAUUCAUCCAGGCAUGAUGGAAAUAUAACUCAACCUUUAGUGCAAUCUGGGUUGUUUGUUCCAGAGGUCCAUGUUGCACAUGGUGCAACUCCAUCUUCUGUACAUAUAAGCAUUUUGAAGAUGAAAACUCUGGAGGCUACUCCUGCCAUUUCAGUUCUCAAAGAAGGAAUGGACAGAUUGAAAGCUAGAUUAUCAAAAUUCUCUCCUGGAUUUUCUCUGUCAAAUAAAAAAUAUUGUGAAUACAAGCAUGAUGAAACACGCCAAACUCCUUUAGGGGAAAAACUGUUUAGUUUAACUCCAGAUAGUAACGUGUAUAAAGGCUUGGUUGAUGGCAAUGAACAUGGAAUUCAGUCUAAUAAAAAUAUUUGCAAGUCAAGUCAAAAUGAAGAGACUCUGGAUGCCAAAAUAGAUGAGGAAAACUUAAGUUUGAUUUCAGCUCAUGUUUCUUACAAUGAUGAAAAUCCUAAGGUUGUGGAAAUGGGAGCUUCUCCCUCACAGAUGACUCAUUUAACGAAGGUGGUAGAUGUGGACCUGGCAGAUCGCACAGUUGAGAAAGGGAAAGAUGAAAUUCUUGUUCCAAGUCCUCCUAUCCAAGAGGUAACACCUCAGUUGUGUUCCUUGCAAGACCCACCCAGUAUGCAAGACUUGUCUCCCAAGGGUAACUUAGAUGGUCAUGGUCUUGAUAACAGCUACCAUUCAGUACUCCAAGUAGCUCAGAGCCAUCUUACCAAAUCAGGUAUUAGUAUUUCUUCUGGGAAGAAACUGCAAGACUCACCCAAUAUGCAAAAUUUGUCUCCCAAGAGUAACUUAGAUGGUCAUGAUAACAGCUACCAUUCAGUACUCCAAGUUGCUCAGAGCCCUCUUACCAAAUCAGGUAUUAGUAUUUCUUCUGGGAAGAAACUGCAAGACUCACCCAAUAUGCAAAACUUGUCUACCAAGAGUAACUUAUAUGGUCAUGGUCUUGAUAACAGCUACCAUUCAGUACUCCAAGUAGCUCAGAGCCCUCUUACCAAAUCAGGUAUUAGUAUUUCUUCUGGGAAGAAACUGCAAGACUCACCCAAUGUGCAAGACUUGUCUCCCAAGAGUAACUUAGAUGGUCAUGGUCUUCAUAACAGCUACCAUUCAGCACUCCAAGUAGCUCAGAGCCCUCUUACCAAAUCAGGUAUUAAUAUUUCUUCUGGGAAGAAAAGAAAAGGUGUCGAGAUACGAAGCAAUGGAGACAAUAUAGAUAAAAUUGGGAGGAUUGGCAGAAGUCCAGAGGUUCAUAAAAGUGGGAAUGGUGACCUACAGUUACUUUCAGAGCAAACAGGUUCUAUGAGAAGUGAAAGAGAGAAGCUUGGAGAUCAGACUUUGAAUGAUGGGGAUCUUAUUCUUAAAAAAUUCUUAGCCAGAACAAAUCAGUUGCUACCUCCUUCAGUUGAUAAGCUAAAUUUGAGAUCGAUUAGCAGGUUGGAAGAUAUUUUGGUUCAUCUGCAUAAAGUUAAGAAGAAAGAGAGUCUUUGUUCAGAAAUUCAAUCUCAGCUCAAAAUAACUGAUCCUCUAAACAUUCUUAGAGACAAGAGAGUUGCUGAAACAAGAACAUUGCUGUAUGAUAUAGCAUAUGAGAAGGCAAAAUUACAAUUAUUGCAUGUGAAACAUGACAAAUUGCAGAAAAAGGUACAACAGGUAAGCUCUGGGCUUCAGGAGUGUGAGACAAUAAAAUUAAAUUCCAUCCCAUCUUCAUCUAAAAGUGGUGCAAUGGACACUCAAGCUGAUGAUAGUCGUUGGCAGGGAAAAUGCCGGGUUUCUUCCCAAAAAGUAUUGGAAAAGAAGCAGGAGCUUGAAAUUUUGGAAUCAAAAGCAAAAUCCUGGAGUGAAUUCUUACAUAGCCAUUGCAUGAUGGAAGGAUAUCAAAGCUAUACCAACACCAUUAAAGCUGUUUCUGGUUAUUUGCAGCAGAGAAAAUCUUGCAAGUCUAUACGCCAGAAUUUGAAGUUGUGGGAAAUUGAAGAUUUUGAGCGCAAGGAUGGUUGUUACAAAGUUUGUCUCAACUAUUGUGGUUAUCUAACCCAAAGGUUCACAGUAAAUACUGGUCAAUCUAGUAUAAUAAUAUCAAAUAGCUUGAAUGAUGUGAAUAUCGGGAAGACCUUCCCUAACUUGGAUGGCAUUUCUGCAUUUGUGUUUGUCUUGCAUCCUCACACCACAAAGAAAUGCACUGGUUCAAGCAUUAUGGCCAGAGAAACACAGUUCGGUGGGCUUCAACUCUGUGUCUGCAAUUAAGAAAGACUAUUGUAGAAAGAAAAAGAGAAACUAGGACAAAUUGGGAAAGAGAGGGGAUGGUUAGUUAUGCAGGAUUCUAACCAAAAUGACACGUGGCAGCAACAGAUUGGGGAGAAGGAUUAUGAAAUCACAUGGGGGGUGUGUAAGUAGUGGGAGUGGGGAAAACUGGUGGCUUGGCAGGUGCCACAGGGCAGAGAACUAUCCUGAUACUUUUUCAUUGGUUCUUGGUUAUUUUCCUCAUUCUGAUACUCUUGUUUUGUAACCAGAGCUUGUUCCCUAGAAUCUUUCCAAUUAAUUCUAUACUAAUUCAGUUUCUAUCAGUUACCAUCCUGUGAUUCCUGCCUGUCCCUGCAUGUAAGCCUUUUCAAAGUAUUUUCAUUUUACCUUCUGCAACUACUUCAUUGUUCAUGAUACUGUCUUUGAUGAAUAUAUUCAUCUAGAUCACCAGAGAAAAACAUCUAGUGCCCUGCUGAUAAAGUGGCUAGUUUUGCUUGCAUAGUGGCCAUAGAAAGAAAGCCAAACAUAAAAGUCAUUUUUCCAUAGAGGGAAAGUGUCUGCAAUUCUGCAUAGUCCAGGUCAAAGAUCUGAGCAUAUCCUUUGACUGCCAGAGACUUGAGGCCAUCAAUUUUCCAUUCUUGAAUGUAUGAAUCUGAUGACAGACAGCCUAUGACUGAUUUCUUGGAGGUAGAGGGACUAGUUUCCAAGGCCCACCAAAUUUAAGUGCUUUCAUUUCAUCAAAUGUGGCUUGUCACGGAUGAAGCUCCAGCUGGAGAUUUAGGGAUAGACAUAGAAGACAAAGAAGAAACACAAACCUAUUGCAAAGAAGACAGUGAACAGUGAUAAUUCAGAGCAACAUAAUGAACAGUGGGGUUAUAAGUUGAUCAUAUACAUAACAAGUUCACUGGUAAGUAACUUGCUAGAUGUGGUUGAGGAGGUUCAAUCAGCUCAGAUAGAGUUUAGAAAUUUGGUCGCUGCAAAGUUCUAUUCUCAUUCAG